AGCGAACGCUGGCGGCAGGCUUAACACAUGCAAGUCGAGCGGGCGUAGCAAUACGUCAGCGGCAGACGGGUGAGUAACGCGUGGGAACGUACCUUUUGGUUCGGAACAACACAGGGAAACUUGUGCUAAUACCGGAUAAGCCCUUACGGGGAAAGAUUUAUCGCCGAAAGAUCGGCCCGCGUCUGAUUAGCUAGUUGGUGAGGUAAUGGCUCACCAAGGCGACGAUCAGUAGCUGGUCUGAGAGGAUGAUCAGCCACAUUGGGACUGAGACACGGCCCAAACUCCUACGGGAGGCAGCAGUGGGGAAUAUUGGACAAUGGGGGCAACCCUGAUCCAGCCAUGCCGCGUGAGUGAUGAAGGCCCUAGGGUUGUAAAGCUCUUUUGUGCGGGAAGAUAAUGACGGUACCGCAAGAAUAAGCCCCGG
rnacentral:rRNA from 1 species